rnacentral:rRNA from 1 species
GAUCCUGGCUCAGAAUCAACGCUGGCGGCGUGCCUAAUGCAUGCAAGUCGAGCGGGGUGACCUUCGGGUCGCUUACGCGGCGGACGGGUGCGGAACACGUGGGCAACCUGCCCUGAGGUGGGGGAUAGCCGGUGGAAACACCGGGUAAUUCCGCAUAAGGUCACUGGCCGGAGGGCUGGUGAGGAAAGGGUCUUCGGACUCGCCUUAGGAGGGGCCUGCGGCCGAUUAGCUAGACGGUGGGGUAACGGCCUACCGUGGCGAUGAUCGGUAGCUGGUCUGAGAGGACGGCCAGCCACACGGGGACUGAGACACGGCCCCGACUCCUACGGGAGGCAGCAGCAAGGAAUCUUCCGCAAUGGGCGAAAGCCUGACGGAGCAACGCCGCGUGUGGGAUGACGCCUUUCGGGGUGUAAACCACUUUUCUCAGGGAAGAAGCAAUGACGGUACCUGAGGAAUAAGGACCGGCUAACUACGUGCCAGCAGCCGCGGUAAUACGUAGGGUCCGAGCGUUGUCCGGAGUUACUGGGCGUAAAGCGCGCGCAGGCGGCGGUAUAAGCAUGGCGUGAAAGCCCCAGGCUCAACCUGGGAGGGUCGUCGUGGACUGUACCGCUUGAGGGCGAUAGGGGCUGGUGGAAUGCCUGGUGUAGUGGUGAAAUGCGUAGAGAUCAGGCGGAACACCCGUGGCGAAGGCGGCCAGCUGGGUCGUCCCUGACGCUGAGGCGCGAAGGCGUGGGA